UGGGGAAUAUUGGACAAUGGGCGCAAGCCUGAUCCAGCCAUGCCGCGUGAGUGAUGAAGGCCCUAGGGUUGUAAAGCUCUUUCACCGGUGAAGAUAAUGACGGUAACCGGAGAAGAAGCCCCGGCUAACUUCGUGCCAGCAGCCGCGGUAAUACGAAGGGGGCUAGCGUUGUUCGGAUUUACUGGGCGUAAAGCGCACGUAGGCGGACUAUUAAGUCAGGGGUGAAAUCCCGGGGCUCAACCCCGGAACUGCCUUUGAUACUGGUAGUCUUGAGUUCGAGAGAGGGGAGUGGAAUUCCGAGUGUAGAGGUGAAAAUCGUAGAUAUUCGGAGGAACACCAGUGGCGAAGGCGGCUCACUGGCUCGAUACUGACGCUGAGGUGCGAAAGCGUGGGGAGCAAACAGG
rnacentral:rRNA from 1 species